GCGUGCAUGCCGAAGCGGAACGGCAUCACCUGCAGGGUGAUGUUGGGCAGCCGGGCCACGUCGAGCAGAUGCUCGAUCUGCUCGCGCAUG
rnacentral:tRNA from 1 species